UACGUAGGGUGCAAGCGUUGUCCGGAAUCACUGGGCGUAAAGGGCGCGUAGGCGGCCUGGUAAGUAGGGGGGUGAAAAUCCUGCGGCUUAACCGCAGGGCUGCCUUCUAAACUGUCAGGCUUGAGCACGGUAGAGGCAGAUGGAAUUCCCGGUGUAGCGGUGGGAUGCGUAGAGAUCGGGAAGAACAUCAGUGGCGAAGGCGGUCUGCUGGGCCGUUGCUGACGCUGAGGCGCGACAGCGUGGGGGAGCAAACAGG
rnacentral:rRNA from 1 species